AGCACAAUUGAUGAUCUAAAUUACCAUGGCAACAUCAAUGUUACACGAAAAGGCACUCAGUGUGCUUAUUGGAAUACAGUAAAGUAUCUCACAGAAGAAAAGAAUUAUUGUAGAACACCUGCAGGAGAUGGUGACAAUGGUGGUGGACCAUGGUGUUAUGUAUAUUAUAACAAUCACGUUUAUUGGGAAAGAUGCAACGUUCCAGUUUGCUAUAGUGAAGUAUGUCCCGACCUGGCAGUACACAAUUUAGAAACAUUAGACAGAAAAACAAGAUAUCAAUAUGGAGAAUCUGUAAUCGUGUCCUGUAAAUCUGGCUACAAACGUAUAGGAAACAAAUAUUUAACAUGUCUAAAGUCAGGUCACUGGAAUGAAUCAAUACCUAGGUGUGAAGAUGUGAAUGAAUGCUCAACUAACCCUUGUGAAAAUGGAGGAAAGUGUAUUGAUGGAGUAAAUAGAUACACAUGCACCUGUCCUGGCAAUUACUUCGGUUUUAAUUGUC